UAAACAGCAGCACAAGGAUCCAACUAAACACCACAAGAACGACCAAAAAUACAAUAGGAGGAGGAAUCAAGGAAAUAGUAAAAAACUUCGUUAUGGCUCUAAUCAACUCAAGGUUUGUGUGCUUGAUGGCUCUUUUGCUGAUUUCGACCGCUUGCUUGUCGAGUCAAGUAUCAGGGACGAACAACAUAGGUAUAAAAGCCAACGCGUGGGCGGGCCGUGAACCCUACCAGUACAAUUGUAUGCCUGAAGGCUGUGUUGUUGCCUGCAAAAAACUGGGCUGCGGAACAGGGGUUUGCCAUAAAGACGGUAGUUGCUAUUGCAGCUAGAUAAGACUGCUCAGUCCGCAGUGGUUGCUCUAAUUUGUAGCAAGAAAAAGACCCAGAAUGAGCUUAGGACAUAAUGUUGCGUUGUCUUUGAUUCCUGGAAUAAGUUAAAUGGAGAUUCUUUAUUUUCA